rnacentral:rRNA from 1 species
CCUACGGGGGGCAGCAGUGGGGAAUAUUGGACUAUGGGGGCAACCCUGAUCCAGCCAUGCCGCGUGUGUGAAGAAGGCCCUCGGGUUGUAAAGCACUUUCAGUGAGGAAGAACGCCUGGUGGUUAAUACCCAUCAGGAAAGACAUCACUCACAGAAGAAGCACCGGCUAACUCCGUGCCAGCAGCCGCGGUAAUACGGAGGGUGCGAGCGUUAAUCGGAAUUACUGGGCGUAAAGCGCGCGUAGGUGGCUUGAUAAGCCGGUUGUGAAAGCCCCGGGCUCAACCUGGGAACGGCAUCCGGAACUGUCAAGCUAGAGUGCAGGAGAGGAAGGUAGAAUUCCCGGUGUAGCGGUGAAAUGCGUAGAGAUCGGGAGGAAUACCAGUGGCGAAGGCGGCCUUCUGGACUGACACUGACACUGAGGUGCGAAAGCGUGGGUAGCAAACAGGAUUAGAUACCCGAGUAGUC